rnacentral:rRNA from 1 species
GAUGAACGCUGGCGGCGUGCCUAAUACAUGCAAGUCGAGCGAACGGACGAGAAUCUUGCUUCUCUGAUGUUAGCGGCGGACGGGUGAGUAACACGUGGAUAACCUACCUAUAAGACUGGGAUAACUUCGGGAAACCGUAGCUAAUACCGGAUAAUAUUUUGAACCGCAUGGUUCAAAAGUGAAAGACGGUCUUGCUGUCACUUAUAGAUGGAUCCGCGCUGCAUUAGCUAGUUGGUAAGGUAACGGCUUACCAAGGCAACGAUGCAUAGCCGACCUGAGAGGGUGAUCGGCCACACUGGAACUGAGACACGGUCCAGACGCCUACGGGAGGCAGCAGUAGGGAAUCUUCCGCAAUGGGCGAAAGCCUGACGGAGCAACGCCGCGUGAGUGAUGAAGGUCUUCGGAUCGUAAAACUCUGUUAUUAGGGAAGAACAUAUGUGUAAGUAACUGUGCACAUCUUGACGGUACCUAAUCAGAAAGCCACGGCUAACUACGUG